AUGUUCUUUUGGGGGGCGGAGCCAAGCAACUGACCUGAAUGGCCACACGCCACACGAGCUCCGCAAAAAAACAAGCAAUCUGGGCCCGCAAACACAGCCCCAACGAAACCGGCACCAAACUGACCCGCGGACUGCUGACACCGACAUGGGCCGAAAAACCAAAAAGCCCAAGCCCGAUAAUCCGUGGCAAAACCUAAGCAUCGGCAACCUCUGG